GUAACGUUAGUUUCAGCAGGCUUGCUGAUCGCAUUAUAGUUGCUUUUUAGUUAUUACAUCGUCAAACCAUAAAAUUAUUAGACAUUCAGGUUAAGAAAACAAUUCUGACCAAUUUUAGGAAAUAAAAUGAGGGAAACAAUGUAAAGCUAUCUUAUAUUAUUAUAAGUACCAGUCUGCUUCGACUGUGAGGUGAAACAAACAUAGAUAAAAUCCGGUGACUUACGGGCCGCACUCAACAAUGAUACUGCGGACUCU
rnacentral:lncRNA from 1 species